rnacentral:rRNA from 1 species
AUACGUAGGGGGCGAGCGUUGUCCGGAAUGAUUGGGCGUAAAGGGCGCGUAGGCGGCCCGGUAAGUCUGGAGUGAAAGUCCUGCUUUUAAGGUGGGAAUUGCUUUGGAUACUGUCGGGCUUGAGUGCAGGAGAGGUAAGUGGAAUUCCCAGUGUAGCGGUGAAAUGCGUAGAGAUUGGGAGGAACACCAGUGGCGAAGGUGACUUACUGGACUGUAACUGACGCUGAGGCGCGAAAGCCAGGGGAGCGAACGGGAUUAGAUACCCCGGUAGUCCUGGCCGUAAACGAUGAAUGCUAGGUGUGGGUGUCGAGAGGCAUCCGUGCCGGAGUUAACGCGAUAAGCAUUCCGCCUGGGGAGUACGAUCGCAAGAUUGAAACUCAAAGGAAUUGACGGGG